UACAGAGGUGGCAAGCGUUGUUCGGAUUCAUUGGGCGUAAAGCGUUCGUAGGCGGUCCGUAAAGUCAGAUGUGAAAGCCCACGGCUUAACCGUGGAACUGCAUUUGAAACUCAUGGACUCGAGGGUAAGAGGGGUAGAAGGAAUUCCAAGUGUAAGGGUGAAAUCUGCAGAGAUUUGGAAGAACACCAGUCGCGAAGGCGUUCUACUGGCUUACUUCUGACGCUGAGGGACGAAAGCUAGGGGAGCGAACGGG
rnacentral:rRNA from 1 species